GUCCCUGUAGCACAAUGAAUUGUGCAUUAGACCUAAUCUAAAGGUUGUGGGUUCCAAUCCCACCUGGGAUG